rnacentral:rRNA from 1 species
GACGAACGCUGGCGGCGUGCCUAAUACAUGCAAGUAGAACGCACAGUUUAUACCGUAGCUUGCUACACCAUAAACUGUGAGUUGCGAACGGGUGAGUAACGCGUAGGUAACCUGCCUGGUAGCGGGGGAUAACUAUUGGAAACGAUAGCUAAUACCGCAUAAUAUUGAUUAUUGCAUGAUAAUUGAUUGAAAGAUGCUAUUGCAUCACUACCAGAUGGACCUGCGUUGUAUUAGCUAGUAGGUGAGGUAACGGCUCACCUAGGCGACGAUACAUAGCCGACCUGAGAGGGUGAUCGGCCACACUGGGACUGAGACACGGCCCAGACUCCUACGGGAGGCAGCAGUAGGGAAUCUUCGGCAAUGGACGAAAGUCUGACCGAGCAACGCCGCGUGAGUGAAGAAGGUUUUCGGAUCGUAAAGCUCUGUUGUAAGAGAAGAACGGGUGUGAAAGUGGAAAGUUCACACUGUGACGGUAUCUUACCAGAAAGGGACGGCUAACUACGUG